rnacentral:rRNA from 1 species
AUAAUCAUUAGUCUUCUAAUUGAAGGCUUGUAUGAAUGGUUGGACAAAAAGCGGACUGUCUCAAUUGCAAUUCAUUGAAUUUAACUUUUAAGUGAAAAGGCUUAAAUAAAUUAAGGGGACGAUAAGACCCUAUAAAGCUUUACAAUAAAUUACUUAUAUUAUAAACUGUUAGUAUAACUUGAUUUUAGGUAAUAUUUGUUGCGUUGGGGCGACGGAAAUAUAAUGAGUAACUGUUCUUAAGUUAAUUAAUAACAUAAAUAUAUGGAAGAUGAAUGAUCCUCUUUUAGAGAUCAUAAGAUUAAGUUACUUUAGGGAUAACAGCGUAAUGUUCUUUGAGAGUCCAUAUCGACAAGAAGGAUUGCGACCUCGAUGUUGAAUU